ACACUUUUAUACCGCCGCCACCCU
rnacentral:siRNA from 1 species